GGUGGUAUAGUGGUGAAGCAUAGCUGCCUUUCCAAAGCAGUUGACCCGGGUUCGAUUCCCGGGCCA
rnacentral:tRNA from 1 species